rnacentral:rRNA from 1 species
UACGAAGGGGGCUAGCGUUGCUCGGAAUUACUGGGCGUAAAGCGCACGUAGGCGGAUUGUUAAGUCGGGGGUGAAAUCCUGGAGCUCAACUCCAGAACUGCCUUCGAUACUGGCGAUCUCGAGUUCGGGGAGAGGUGAGUGGAACUGCGAGUGUAGAGGUGAAAUUCGUAGAUAUUCGCAAGAACACCAGUGGCGAAGGCGGCUCACUGGCCCGAUACUGACGCUGAGGUGCGAAAGCGUGGGGAGCAAACAGG